GGAGGCGUACCCAAGUGGCUGAAGGGAUCGGUCUUGAAAACCGACAGGCGGGUUAAACCGUGCGUGGGUUCAAAUCCUACCGCCUCCG
rfam:Lysinibacillus manganicus DSM 26584 contig69, whole genome shotgun sequence.